rnacentral:rRNA from 1 species
GACGAACGCUGGCGGCGUGCCUAACACAUGCAAGUCGAGCGGAGUCGAUCGACGGAAGCCUUCGGGCGGAAGAUGGUUGACUUAGCGGCGGAUGGGUGAGUAACGCGUGGGCAACCUGCCUCGAAGACCGGGAUAACAGCCCGAAAGGGCUGCUAAUACCGGAUGUGGUCAAGGAUCCGCAUGGAUUUUGAUUAAAGGGGAAACCCGUUUCGAGAUGGGCCCGCGUCCUAUCAGCUAGUUGGUGAGGUAAAAGCUCACCAAGGCGACGACGGGUAGCCGGCCUGAGAGGGUGACCGGCCACACUGGAACUGAGACACGGUCCAGACUCCUACGGGGGGCAGCAGUGGGGAAUCUUCCACAAUGGGCGAAAGCCUGAUGGAGCGACGCCGCGUGAGCGAAGAAGGCCUUCGGGUUGUAAACUGCUUUAGUCUAGGAAAAAGGGGUGCGAGGUUAAUACCCUCGUGCUUUGAUGGUACUGGAAGAAUAAGCACCGGCUAACUACGUG